GUGAAGCGGCAACAGCUCAAAUUUGAAAUCUGGCUUCGGCCCGAGUUGUAAUUUGCAGAGGAAGCUUUAGGCGCGGCACCAUCUGAGUCCCCUGGAACGGGGCGCCACAGAGGGUGAGAGCCCCGUAUAGAUGGACGCCUAGCCUGUGUAAAGCUCCUUCGACGAGUCGAGUAGUUUGGGAAUGCUGCUCAAAAUGGGAGGUAAAUUUCUUCUAAAGCUAAAUAUUGGCCAGAGACCGAUAGCGCACAAGUAGAGUGAUCGAAAGAUGAAAAGCACUUUGAAAAGAGGGUUAAAUAGCACGUGAAAUUGUUGAAAGGGAAGCGCUUGUGACCAGACUUGCGCCGGGCGGAUCAUCCGGUGUUCUCACCGGUGCACUCCGCCCGGCUCAGGCCAGCAUCGGUUCUCGCGGGGGGAUAAAGGCCCUGGGAACGUAGCUCCUCCGGGAGUGUUAUAGCCCAGGGUGUAAUGCCCUCGCGGGGACCGAGGUUCGCGCAUCUGCAAGGAUGCUGGCGUAAUGGUCAUCAGCGACCCGUCUUGAAACACGGACCAAGGAGUCAAGGUUUUGCGCGAGUGUUUGGGUGUAAAACCCGCACGCGUAAUGAAAGUGAACGUAGGUGAGAGCUUCGGCGCAUCAUCGACCGAUCCUGAUGUUUUCGGAUGGAUUUGAGUAGGAGCGUUAAGCCUUGGACCCGAAAGAUGGUGAACUAUGCUUGGAUAGGGUGAAGCCAGAGGAAACUCUGGUGGAGGCUCGCAGCGGUUCUGACGUGCAAAUCGAUCGUCAAAUCUGAGCAUGGGG
rnacentral:rRNA from 2 species